UUAAGCUAUAAAGAGCACAGGGCGGAUGCCUAGGCACUGAGAGCCGACGAAGGACGUGACAAGCUGCGAUAAGCUGCGGGGAGAAGCAAAUAUUCUGUGAGCCGCAGAUUUCCGAAUGGGGGAACCCACGUGAGCAAACCUCACGUAUCCAUACGCCAAUCCAUAACGUAUGGAAGGGAACCCGGGGAACUGAAACAUCUAAGUACCCGGAGGAAGAGAAAGAAACAUCGAUUUCCUUAGUAGCGGCGAGCGAAAGGGAAAGAGCCCAAACCGCGGGAUUUAUCCUGCGGGGUUAGGACUGCAUAAUUGAUUCGGGAUUGAUAGGAGAACGGUCUGGGAAGUCCGGCGAAAAAGCGUGAAAGCCGCGUAUCCGAAAUUGAAACCGACAUGGCAGUAUCCAGAGUACCACGAGACACGAGAAACCUUGUGGGAAUGAGCGGAGACCACUCCGUAAGGCUAAAUACUACUCAGUGACCGAUAGCGCAUAGUACUGUGAAGGAAAGGUGAAAAGGACCCCGGGAGGGGAGUGAAAGAGAACCUGAAACCCUGUGUUUACAAGCUGUGGGACAUCUUUACAUGAUGAACCGCGUACUUUUUGUAGAACGGUCCGGCGAGUUGCGGAUGCCGGCAAGGUUAAGCACUUAAGGUGUGGAGCCGAAGGGAAACCAAGUCUGAAGAGGGCGCAUAUAGUCAGUAUCCGCAGACCCGAAACCGGGUGAUCUACCCAUGUCCAGGUUGAAGUUGCCGUAAAAGGCAAUGGAGGACCGAACGCACAUCCGUUGAAAAGGGUGGCGAUGAGGUGUGGGUAGGGGAGAAAUUCCAAUCGAACCCGGAGAUAGCUGGUUCUCCUCGAAAUAGCUUUAGGGCUAGCCUCGUUUUAGUCUUAUGGAGGUAGAGCACUGAAUUUCCGCGGGGGCGUCAAAGCUUACCAAAGAAUAUCAAACUCCGAAUGCCAUGUAGAUGAUGAACGGGAGUCAGACUGCACGAGAUAAGUUGGGCAGUCAAAAGGGAAAGAGCCCAGACCGCCAGCCAAGGUCCCAAAGUGUGUGUUAAGUGGAAAAGGAUGUGGGAUCUCCAAGACAACUAGGAUGUUGGCUCAGAAGCAGCCACACAUUCAAAGAGUGCGUAACAGCUCACUAGUCGAGAGGUCCUGCGCCGAAAAUGUCCGGGGCUGAAACACAACACCGAAGCUGCGGAAUUGCGAAUGCAAUUGGUAGAGGAGCAUUCUUAAUACCGACGAAGCUGUACCGGAAGGAGCAGUGGAGGGAUAAGAAGAGAGAAUGCCGGAAUGAGUAGCGAGAGAGAGGUGGGAAUCCUCUCGGCCGAAUAUCCAAGGUUUCCAGAGUAAAGCUGAUCUGCUCUGGGUAAGUCGGGGCCUAAGGCGAGGUCAAGAGACGUAGCCGAUGGACAACAGGUUUAGAUUCCUGUACCGCAUAUAAACAGAACUGUGGGGACGCAUGGGGAGAGCAUGGGCCGGGAAUGGAAAUACCGGUGCAAGCGAAGGAGGUGUGCAGCCGGCAAAUCCGCUGCAUGAGCCGAAAGCGUGACGCGGAGCGAAAUGAAAGUAGCGAAGCAUGUGAGCCCUGUGCCGAGAAAAGCCGCUAUUGUUUUAUAUGUGCCCGUACCGUAAACCGACACAGGUGGAUGAGGAGAGAAUCCUAAGGCCGGCGGAAGAAGUAUUGUUAAGGAACUCGGCAAAAUGACCCCGUAACUUCGGGAGAAGGGGUGCCCACGAAAGUGGGCCGCAGAGAAUAGGCUCAAGCAACUGUUUAGCAAAAACACAGGUCUAUGCAAAACCGUAAGGUGAGGUAUAUGGGCUGACGCCUGCCCGGUGCUGGAAGGUUAAGAGGAGAGGUUAACGAAAGUGAAGCUUUGAAUUUAAGCCCCAGUAAACGGCGGCCGUAACUAUAACGGUCCUAAGGUAGCGAAAUUCCUUGUCGGGUAAGUUCCG
rnacentral:rRNA from 1 species